rnacentral:misc_RNA from 1 species
CAUUGUUGUGGGCGUCUGCCCGUUCCCUAAUCGUAAGUUAUAAAAGGCUUGCCAUGAUGUGCUGUGACGUAACUAGUAUUAAUUGGCUCAUCUUUUCGAAAAUAAUGGAUCCGCCUAUGCCGAUCAUGAGGCCAAAAAGGACUAUUAAGAAAAAAUUGAACUUCAUGUUUUCGAAUUCGGCAUUAUACGGUUAUCAUAAAAAUUGUUGUAAAGUCGAUGUUGUUUAAUGUUAUUUAAUGUUGCAUAGGUAAAAGGAGAGGUUCAGUUGCUGCUGCGACUAAAAAGGUCAUCAAAGCAGCUGGUAAGAACAACUCAACAACAUCGGUGCCAGGUUUCAUUCCACAAAUUCCAAAACCAGUUCAUGCAUUGUCUCAAUUAAUCCAAGUCAGACCGGGGAAUGAAAAAGAAAAUGGAUUGGGGCCAUCCACCAACAACACAAGGAGAACCUCAUCAACAUCAUUACCAGUUUCUGAUCAAAGAAGGACUAUCCUUUCAGAAGCCGGACUAAAUCGUAUAGGGGCAAGAACCAAACAUACGACUGAACGUUUUAAUGGCGCUGAUUUAAUGCCCAACGGUGGUGUCGACAACUCACACAACCCACUUCAUUCUGAAUUAGGUGAUGCUUCCUUAACCUUUUAAUCGGCUGCAUUUCUUAGUUCUACUCCGUUAAGAGACAGACUUAGCACACCACCUCGCACAGCAGCACCAAUUACCGGAAAUCUCGGUCAAUUACUGCAGGAAAUUAUUAACUUCAUGGCUGAGUCUAACGCUAAACAAGAGCGUUUGAUGAGCAUUGUUACGACGCUUGCCACACAGAAAACAACACAGGCAGUACCACAGGUUGAGGCCGAUGAUAUGAUAGAUUCCUUGGAGCUUCCAUUCAACGAUUUUGAGGAAUUUCUAUCUUUUGACGAGAAACUUAAAAACAGUUCUGGGUUUCGUAAGAAAUUUGUUAAUUACUUAGCCUGCAUGGGGGGAGGCUCGUUGAAAGAGAGCUGUAAGUUCAUUUUAUUCCACACCAUAGACAAAUACGUUUCCCUACGUUACUCGCGUCGAGGAAUGGGAAGACUAAAAAAGCUGCCUUUUGAAAAGACGCAAUUUUAUAAAUGUUUGAAACGUGCAUUGGGGAAAAGACAUCCAGAUAAAAACGAGUUCCAGUUCAAGCCCAUGCAAGAAGCGAUCACCAAUUUCCUUAAAGACGCAAAAGACCGUAAAGGAGGUCGACAAAUGCGUAAUCGAAACAAGAAAAACGUGGCUGAAAAUUCCUCGUCGUCUUCGUCAUCGUUUUCAAGCGAAGAUGAUGACUAAAUCGUUUAUAUGUUCAGUCGUUUAUAUGUUCAGUGUUAACGAGGAGAGUGAAAUAUUUCCUAUCAUAGAAAUCUUUUUCUCUCCUCGUCGUUAAUAAGGAUUGUUUUGUGUUUUUUUUUAUUAGUCAUGGCUGAAGAAGUCGAAAACUUUUUUUCUCAUUUAUCUUCAUUGAAUUUUGUGCAGUUUACUGUUCUACCGAUUAAUAAAGAA